UGAUAGGCCGGCGGUGUAAGCACGGUAACGUGUUCAGCUAACCGGUACUAAUUGACCGUGAGGCUUGACCAUAAAA
rnacentral:rRNA from 1 species